GGCCGCGGGAAUUCGAUUCAGGCCUAACACAUGCAAGUCGAGCGGUAGAGAGAAGCUUGCUUCUCUUGAGAGCGGCGGACGGGUGAGUAAUGCCUAGGAAUCUGCCUGGUAGUGGGGGAUAACGUUCGGAAACGGACGCUAAUACCGCAUACGUCCUACGGGAGAAAGCAGGGGACCUUCGGGCCUUGCGCUAUCAGAUGAGCCUAGGUCGGAUUAGCUAGUUGGUGAGGUAACGGCUCACCAAGGCUACGAUCCGUAACUGGUCUGAGAGGAUGAUCAGUCACACUGGAACUGAGACACGGUCCAGACUCCUACGGGAGGCAGCAGUGGGGAAUAUUGGACAAUGGGCGAAAGCCUGAUCCAGCAAGGCCGCGUGUGUGAAGAAGGUCUUCGGAUUGUAAAGCAAUUGAAGUUGGGAGGAAGGGCAUUAACC
rnacentral:rRNA from 1 species